rnacentral:rRNA from 1 species
CCUACGGGCGACAGCAGUGGGGAAUAUUGCACAAUGGGGGCAAGCCUGAUGCAGCGACGCCGCGUGAGUGAAGAAGUAAUUCGUUUUGUAAAGCUCUAUCAGCCGGGACGAAAAUAACGAUGCCUGCGUAAGAAUCCCCGGCUAACUACGUGCCAGCAGCCGCGGUAAUACGUAGGGGGCAAGCGUUAUCCGGAUUUACUGGGUGUAAGGGGAGCGUAGACGGCAGUGCAAGUCUGGAGUGAAAGGCUGGGGCUCAACCCCCGGACUGCUUUGGAAACUGUACGGCUUGAGUGCAGGAGAGGCAAGGGGAAUUCCGAGUGUAGCGGUGAAAUGCGUAGAUAUUAGGAGGAACACCAGUGGCGAAGGCGGCCUACUGGACUGUAACUGACGCUGAGGCGCGAAAGCGUGGGGAGCAAACAGGAUUAGAUACCCGAGUAGUC